ensembl:lncRNA
CUUCGCCCUGUCUCCAUCCUGGUUCCUGAGUCCGCACCGCCAGUAUGUCCGGACAAGAUGGCUGUCGCACCGCCCGUGUCUACGGACAAGAUGGCUGCCACACCGCCCGUGUCUAUGGACAAGAUGGCUAACCUGCCUAAGCCCUCAGCCGAGAUGGCUGCCACGCCUGAGCCCUCAGCCGAGAUGGCUGCCACGCCUGAGCCCUCAGCCGAGAUGGCUGCCACGCCUGAGCCCUCAGCCGAGAUGGCUGCCACACCUGAGCCCUCAUCCAAAAUGGCUACCACGCCUGAACUCGCAGAGACUGCAGCGCUGGUCAUCAUGGCCACAGCCAUUUUGUAUAUGUGGGCUAUGCACACAUCGGCUCCAGUUCCUGAGACUGUUCCAGUCCAUGAAUCCGCCCCAGAGCCGGUUCCAGCCCUUAAAUCCACUUCUGAGUCUACUCCAGUCCUUGAGUGUGUUCCAUUCAUUAAAACCAUUCUAGAGCCUACUCCAGUCUUCAAAUCCACUUCAAACAAUAAAUCUACUUCAGUGACAGCUCCUAUCCUUGAAUCAGCUUCAGAGCCCGCUUCUGCCCAGAAAUCCAGUCUUAUGGCCUAUAAACUAUCUGUCUGCCCUGAAAUGACCACAGAGGUCGUCCCUGAGUUCCCUGUCUGCCUUGAUAUGACCACGGAGGUCAUUCCUGAGUUUUCUGUCACGGCAAUGGAGGCCGUUUGGGAACUCUCGAACUGCCUCAUCACGGCCACGGAGGCCACCAUUAACCUGUUUAUGUUCUCUGUUUCAGUCCUACCUGACCAGACUUGCUCUCCUGUGCCAUCGACUAGACUGUGGUGGUCCUCUGCUCCACCCUGGUGGGAUUCUGUCUCGUCUGCUCGGCUGUGGGGGUCCUCUGCGCCGCCCCGGUGGGCUCCAGUUCCGCCUGCGCCACCCCGGUGGGCUCCAGUUCCACCUGCUCCACCCUGGAUUCCUGCUCUGUCGGCACUGCCACUUCCACGUGGACCUGGCCCUCCAUCCCUCCCCCUGUUCCACCUCCGCUCCACCUCCCACCUGAACUUUGGACUGUUUUUAGUUAGGAGCGUCUGGAAGCCACUCCUUAAGGGGGGGGGCUAUGUCAUGAUCACAAGUGAGAGUGCCCGUCAUGGCCACCAGAGGGCACUCCAAACUGGACUUCACAUAUCCAUUGAACUCCAUUUCCCAUUCACCCUGCACCUGCCACUCUUCCUACAACCACAUACACACACAGUGACUAUUGCACUACAUUUCCCACAAGCCCCAUCCUUGGACUCUGAUUACUCUCCAGCUGCAGCUCAUUGGAUUUUAGUAUUUAAGCUGCUAGCUUUCUUGUGUUCAGGGCGAGGUCUUGUUGUACUACGGUUACACUUCUGAGCAUUUUCUAUUGUCUGUCUGUUGCUUAUUUUGUCUGUUCCCUGGUUUACGAUUACUGCUGCAUGCCUUCUGGACUAUAUUGCUUGUUUCUUGGACUGUGAUUCUCAGCUUGAUACCCUGACAUUCUGCCUGUGUACCGAUUAUGAUUCUGCCUGUUCUUCCCUGUUGUGUUUGCUGUCAUUGACCCCUGCCUGUACGACCACGAUGUUUCUUAUUAAAAGCUUGCAAGUGGAUCUAACGUCUUGUGAUUACCCCAGCGUAACAAUUUAAUCCUAAU